rnacentral:rRNA from 1 species
GAAUAUUGGUCAAUGGAUGGAAGUCUGAACCAGCCAUGCCGCGUGCAGGAAGAAGGCCUUCUGGGUUGUAAACUGCUUUUGCCAGGGGCUAAAAGGCCCAUGCGUGGGACAUUGAAAGUACCUGGUGAAUAAGCCACGGCUAACUACGUGCCAGCAGCCGCGGUAAUACGUAGGUGGCAAGCGUUGUCCGGAUUUAUUGGGUUUAAAGGGUGCGUAGGCGGCUUAUUAAGUCAGUGGUGAAAUAUCGCAGCUUAACUGUGAGGGUGCCAUUGAUACUGAUGAGCUUGAGUACAGAUGAGGUAGGCGGAAUUGACGGUGUAGCGGUGAAAUGCAUAGAUAUCGUCAAGAACACCUAUAGCGAAGGCAGCUUACUAAGCUGUAACUGACGCUGAGGCACGAAAGUGUGGGGAUCAAACAGG